rnacentral:rRNA from 1 species
CCUACGGGGUGCAGCAGUGGGGGAUAUUGCACAAUGGGGGAAACCCUGAUGCAGCGACGCCGCGUGGGUGAAGAAGCGCCUCGGCGCGUAAAGCCCUGUCAGCAGGGAAGAAAAUGACGGUACCUGAAGAAGAAGCCCCGGCUAACUACGUGCCAGCAGCCGCGGUAAUACGUAGGGGGCAAGCGUUAUCCGGAUUUACUGGGUGUAAAGGGGGCGCAGACGGCGAUGCAAGCCAGAAGUGAAAGCCCGGGGCCCAACCCCGGGACUGCUCUUGGAACUGCGUGGCUAGAGUGCAGGAGGGGCAGGCGGAAUGCCUGGUGUAGCGGUGAAAUGCGUAGAUAUCAGGAGGAACACCGGUGGCGAAGGCGGCCUGCUGGACUGCAACUGACGUUGAGGCCCGAAAGCGUGGGGAGCAAACAGGAUUAGAUACCCCAGUAGUC